UACAGAGGGUGCGAGCGUUGUUCGGAAUUACUGGGCGUAAAGCGCACGUAGGCGGCUCUUUAAGUCGGAGGUGAAAUCCUGGAGCUCAACUCCAGAACUGCCUUCGAUACUGGGAGCUCGAGUCCGGGAGAGGUGAGUGGAACUGCGAGUGUAGAGGUGAAAUUCGUAGAUAUUCGCAAGAACACCAGUGGCGAAGGCGGCUCACUGGCCCGGUACUGACGCUGAGGUGCGAAAGCGUGGGGAGCAAACAGG
rnacentral:rRNA from 1 species